GACGAACGCUGGCGGCGUGCUUAACACAUGCAAGUCGAACGGAAAGGCCCUGCUUUUGUGGGGUGCUCGAGUGGCGAACGGGUGAGUAACACGUGAGUAACCUGCCCUUGACUUUGGGAUAACUUCAGGAAACUGGGGCUAAUACCGGAUAGCAGCUCCUGCUGCAUGGUGGGGGUUGGAACGUUUCGGCGGUUGGGGAUGGACUCGCGGCUUAUCAGCUUGUUGGUGGGGUAGUGGCUUACCAAGGCUUUGACGGGUAGCCGGCCUGAGAGGGUGACCGGCCACAUUGGGACUGAGAUACGGCCCAGACUCCUACGGGAGGCAGCAGUGGGGAAUAUUGCACAAUGGGCGGAAGCCUGAUGCAGCAACGCCGCGUGCGGGAUGACGGCCUUCGGGGUGUAAACCGCUGUCGCCUGUGACGAAGCGUGAGUGACGGUAAUGGGUAAAGAAGCACCGGCUAACUACGUG
rnacentral:rRNA from 1 species